GCCAGCCAUGGCAACACUGUUUCUUAAUAAGCUGGAAUGUACGAGGGAAAGCACAGGCUGCUGUCACCUGAUGUUUUUCUCUGGCUAUCAUUACCAACAACAUUUAGGCUGAAGGUCCUAUCAGCUAAACACCACCGUUGAGCGCACUCCUUCCCUGUACAGUGGUGGAAAGGGUGCUCAAGGACAAGGACUACACAGAAAGAGCUAUUACCUUCCGUUCCCUUGGGCCUCGGUGUCUCAGACCAUAGCACCACCUGCUUCUGAAUGCCUUGUUCAUAGGAUGCCAAAGAGCUCAUGGGAAAAAGAGGGUCAAAGGACCCAUGUCAUCAAGAGCUGGGAGAGCCACUGACCGGUGCCAAGGACACCACAGCAGCCAAGCUGUACUUCAUGAACUCAUCGGAAAGGAGGGCAAGAGCUCCUGAAGUGGCCGAGAGAGGGGCCAGGAAGACCAAUGAAAUCAUUACUUUAACAGUCCAGGCCAGAGCUAACGCAGACCUGUCUCCUAAUAAUCUCCCAGACCCAACUUUUCCACAAUCUCUCCCCCUCUACUCCUAUUCUAACACGUGCUAACACAUACAUACACACACACUCUCUCUCAGCUAUAGUGAACUGAACUAGGUUCAGUGUCUUUCACAAGACAUCACUAGACCAUGUAUAUCCAGCUACCAAAAUACUCGCCCUGCCAGGUGUUUUUGGCCUGGCCAACUUGUAGUUAGAGUUAAGAGUCUCCAGUUAACGUCACCUUCCGCAAGCAGUUUUUGUUUUUAAACUUCCUCUUUGUUUAAUGUUCUUCUGGCUGAUUCCAGAGCAUUCGUUACACCUUAUCAUAAUUACAUGCCAGCUGCCUGUUUCCUUCACUACACCAGGCUCCGUGAGAGCAAAACCAUGACUUUCUUUUUCAGCUGCAUUCCCAAAACAAUACCGAGAAUAGCAUUAGACUCAUAACAAAUGUUAACUCGUAUAGGAAUCUUAUAAAGCAAAAUGUACAUUACAUCCUAUAUACACAUAAUACAUGUUUAAUAGACAUACAUACAUAGAACAUAUAUUAACUAUAUGUCUAGCUUUCACACGUACCUCGAGCAGUGCUUUUUCAACAUCUAGCAAUGUUCUGAAAAUUGCUUAUUGACUAACUGCCAAAUUAAGCUUUAUUAUUCUAUAAUUUCUUGCAACUUAAUAGCAAAUUCCUGGCUCAAUCAUUAGUCCAUUAUUCUGCUUCACUGUUUCCUUUUGCCAAGAUAAAAACUGGACUCCACACUACAAUUACAUCAGAAAAGAGUAAAUAGGAACUGUAAUGUGGAUUACUCAGAUUGGAAAAGGUUACUUAGAAGUAUCAAUAUGGGGCGCCUGGGUGGCUCAGUGGGUUAAGCCUCUGCC